ACGCCGCGUGAGUGAUGAAGGUUUUCGGAUCGUAAAGCUCUGUUGUUAGGGAAGAACAAGUGCCGUUCAAAUAGGGCGGCACCUUGACGGUACCUAACCAGAAAGCCACGGCUAACUACGUGCCAGCAGCCGCGGUAAUACGUAGGUGGCAAGCGUUGUCCGGAAUUAUUGGGCGUAAAGGGCUCGCAGGCGGUUUCUUAAGUCUGAUGUGAAAGCCCCCGGCUCAACCGGGGAGGGUCAUUGGAAACUGGGGAACUUGAGUGCAGAAGAGGAGAGUGGAAUUCCACGUGUARCGGUGAAAKGCGUARAGAUGUGGAGGAACMCCAGUGGCGAAGGCRACUCUCUGGUCUGUARCUGAMGCUGAGGAGCGAAAGCGUGGGGAGCGAACAGGAUUAGAUACCCUGG
rnacentral:rRNA from 1 species